CAAAUAUUUUUUUAAUGCAGAAUAAAAAUGUAAUUUGUCUAUCAUACGAGGAAAAUUAGCGCAACGAGCACUGCUAGAAGGUACAACCCAAACAGCUGUAUCUCCUAUGAAUUCUGAUUGUAAUCCAAAAUGAAAGGAUCUGCAGAAGAUCUAGUUGGUCUAGCGACUAUAUUUGUUAAUCCAAUUCCAUAUUGUAAUAACUUGUGAUCUUCUUCAAAACUGAGACAUUUUGGCGUUAAGCCUGAUUCAUAUAAAAGCUUAUAAAAAUGAUUACCAGGACCUGCAUAAUAUUUGCCACGAUGUGCUGCUAUCAAACUUGGAUUUAUACCAACAAAGACUAUAUCAAGAUUUUCCUUGAGAUAAUCAGUGUGUACGAGAUUUAUUAAGAAUACGAGAUAUAUAAUGGUGCUGGAGAUAAUGAGAUAGUAUGUUUGCAUGAUGCAUUUAUACUAAUCUACCUGGUAGAGAGCCACUGAUCGUAUCCAAAUCCUGUUAGUCUUCCGGUCUGUAAAAUCGUUAUUAUGAGCACGAGUCUUAACGGUGGAGCCUCGGAAGCGUUAUGGAAUCGUUAGACAACUCGUCGGCCGGUGAAGAAAGAACGACAAGAAUGUCCUGUGAGAAGGCAUCACGACGCCUAAGAUAUCUGAUCGCAAAGGCCAAAAGAUUGGGUCUAACAACGGAGGAAGUCGCGGAGUUGCCGACGAUAAAGAGACUAGUACCGGGACGCGUUAUGUCGACCACGAGGACGACACUCUUUAUGAUCGUCCUGAUCCUUGGAGGAAGCCUUGUACUUGCUUUCCUUUGUGCCCCUUGCAUCGCCAGAAGCAGAACUUGAGGAAGGAAGAAUACGCUACUACUGCACCGCUAACUCGAGGACGUCUAUGAGAUCUACGAUUCUUUGGAAAUUAAAUAUCCUACACGAUUUUAUUUCAAAAGCGUAUAAAACAAACAAAAAAUCUUACGAACGCUAAUUGUGACGCUAAGAAAUCGGUGAUAAAUGAGUGGCCGUGACGAAGCUAGAACGAUCUUUAUCCCACGGACCAACAAAUUGAUCGGAGGUGUGAUUCGUGGUGAUACUAGAUAUAUAAUAUUUGGUAGUUAUAUAGGAAACAAAAGGAUACACGCAAAAAGGCAGUUCCUUAUUGCGUUAUGACUCGGUUGCUUUUCUCUUACGUUUCUUUUCUUCCUUUUCCUUUCGGUUUCUUGGCCCUCAAAUCAUAAAAGAAACUUUUUAUCAAAGUACUGAAGAAGUACCAGAGAGUAUGUCUUUCGUUUUAUUUUAUUUCAUUUUAUUUGUUUUUUAUUUUAUUUUAUUUAUUUUUUUUUGUUUUUUCUUUAUAGAUAUACUUGUCAGGUUAGUUUAAGUGUAAUACGAGGUGUAGCGUAAAAGUAAUGCGAGAUUUAUAACAUAUAAAAUUAUACCGUAAACUUUUUGUAAUUCCAGGAUUUCCCCUUUUAUGAAAAUAGGUAAACAUUACAUGUAUGCGAAUGUUUCUGAAAGGCCAGAGUUUUGUUAGGAAACGUUGUUUAAUUUACCGUAAACGCUAGGUAUAAAUAAACAACAGCCGGUAAUUAAUAUCACAAUAUAUCAACGUACAUUGAACGAUACAAAAUCCGACUAAAUUCAUUCUGACUAUACGUCGCCUUUAACAAAAUUAAUCCAAUUACUUUUACGCUACACCGCAUAUCUGCGUUGUUUGUUACAUUUGAAAAUGAAAGCAUCGAUAAAUUGGACAAUAUGAUUGUAUAAGUAUAAACGAAUUUCUCCAGGAGUAAUGUCAAUGAUUCGCUCGUGUAUGAUUCGACUAAUUGAAUACAAGAAAAAAGGAUUAAAAAAGUACCUAUCCAAUUGAAUUGUAUAACGCUAAUUAGGAUUUCGCUCGAACCGUACCAAUGAUUUUCGAACGUUUUAUCGGAGUCGUGUGAAACUUUACUUUUAUAUGUGAUCAAAUAAAUUUUUAGGAAAUACAAA